rnacentral:rRNA from 1 species
UCCUACGGGAGGCAGCAGUGGGGAAUAUUGCACAAUGGGCGCAAGCCUGAUGCAGCAACGCCGCGUGAGGGACGAAGGCCUUCGGGUUGUAAACCUCUUAUAGUAGGGAAGAAGCGACUGGGUUUUCCUGGGAGUGACGGUACCUGCAGAAAAAGCACCGGCUAACUACGUGCCAGCAGCCGCGGUAAUACGUAGGGUGCAAGCGUUGUCCGGAAUUAUUGGGCGUAAAGAGCUCGUAGGCGGUUUGUCGCGUCUGCUGUGAAAACCCGAGGCUCAACCUCGGGCCUGCAGUGGGUACGGGCAGACUAGAGUGCGGUAGGGGAGAUUGGAAUUCCUGGUGUAGCGGUGGAAUGCGCAGAUAUCAGGAGGAACACCAAUGGCGAAGGCAGAUCUCUGGGCCGUAACUGACGCUGAGGAGCGAAAGCAUGGGGAGCGAACAGGAUUAGAUACCCUGGUAGUCCAUGCCGUAAACGUUGGGAACUAGAUGUGGGGACCAUUCCACGGUCUCCGUGUCGCAGCUAACGCAUUAAGUUCCCCGCCUGGGGAGUACGGCCGCAAGGCUAAAACUCAAAGGAAUUGACGGGGGCCCGCACAAGCGGCGGAGCAUGCGGAUUAAUUCGAUGCAACGCGAAGAACCUUACCAAGGCUUGACAUAUACCGGAAACGGCUGGAAACAGUCGCCCCGCAAGGUCGGUAUACAGGUGGUGCAUGGUUGUCGUCAGCUCGUGUCGUGAGAUGUUGGGUUAAGUCCCGCAACGAGCGCAACCCUCGUCCUAUGUUGCCAGCACGUAAUGGUGGGAACUCAUGGGAUACUGCCGGGGUCAACUCGGAGGAAGGUGGGGAUGACGUCAAAUCAUCAUGCCCCUUAUGUCUUGGGCUUCACGCAUGCUACAAUGGCCGGUACAAAGGGCUGCGAUACCGCAAGGUGGAGCGAAUCCCAAAAAGCCGGUCUCAGUUCGGAUUGAGGUCUGCAACUCGACCUCAUGAAGUCGGAGUCGCUAGUAAUCGCAGAUCAGCAACGCUGCGGUGAAUAAGUUCCCGGGCCU